UACGUAGGGUGCAAGCGUUAAUCGGAAUUACUGGGCGUAAAGCGCGUGUAGGCGGCUAUGUAAGUCGGGCGUGAAAUCCCACGGCUCAACCGUGGAAGUGCACCCGAAACUGCGUAGCUAGAGUCCUGGAGAGGAAGGUGGAAUGCUUGGUGUAGAGGUGAAAUUCGUAGAUAUCAAGCGGAACACCGGUGGCGAAGGCGGCCAACUGGACAGAUACUGACGCUGAGACUCGAAAGCGUGGGGAGCAAACAGG
rnacentral:rRNA from 1 species